UACGUAGGGUGCGAGCGUUACUCGGAAUUACUGGGCGUAAAGCGUGCGCAGGCGGCUUUGCAAGACAGAUGUGAAAUCCCCGGGCUCAACCUGGGAACUGCAUUUGUGACUGCAAGGCUAGAGUACGGCAGAGGGGGAUGGAAUUCCGCGUGUAGCAGUGAAAUGCGUAGAUAUGCGGAGGAACACCAAUGGCGAAGGCAAUCCCCUGGGCCUGUACUGACGCUCAUGCACGAAAGCGUGGGGAGCAAACAGG
rnacentral:rRNA from 1 species